rnacentral:sRNA from 1 species
GGAUUGGGAGCGCUAGCAAGGUGCGCGCGCAUGCGGGCUAGCAUGGUAGGUUGUACCGAGAGGGCGCCCUUCCUCUAGAGGCCUCGUUUGCCCGACACUUACGACAGGCCCUUGGACGUAAGGCGUGGACGUGGAUGACGUCACCCUCCGGCCUGCGUGUUGGGGAGGAGCGAGUAGCGGGGUGGUCGCUCCCUCGGGAUUUGGGUGCGGCUGGGCUCAGUCUAAGAAAGUUCUGUCUGAAAAUAUAAACAAAGUGGCUGCGAGUGGACAGUGCAUCCUGGUCUCUGGUGAAUCUGCAGAGGACUAGAAUAUCUAAACCCAAGUCCUUGACGAUCCCCGUGCUUUUGGGAAACUCUGAGCCUGAGAUGCUAAUGAGAAACAACAAAGAUACAGCUUAUUCCUAAAGCGCUCAAGGCAGUCUGCUGAAUAGGAGCGUGAAGUAGAAGUCAUCGACAGAGGCUGCUGUAUCACCAUUUAACCAGACCUACGGGUGCAGUAAGACCAGGAAGAGAGAUCCUGUUUCUACCACAGAGGCUGAGCUUGCAGUGCGGUCAUGAGUGUCUGCAGAGGCUGAUGUAGUCUGGGGCCCUCAGCUGACUGCAGGUAAGCUGGGCAUCUUUCCUAACCUACUGGUGUGAGGUCACUACAUCCGCUGAUCUCCUUGCCUCUUUUACUACAGAAUUCUUGCCAAUGAUAGGAAGUCAUACAGUUUUGAUUUCGUCACA